GGGCAAUCUGCCCUGCACUCUGGGACAAGCCCUGGAAACGGGGUCUAAUACCGGAUAUGACCAACUUCCGCAUGGUGGUUGGUGUAAAGCUCCGGCGGUGCAGGAUGAGCCCGCGGCCUAUCAGCUUGUUGGUGGGGUAAUGGCCUACCAAGGCGACGACGGGUAGCCGGCCUGAGAGGGCGACCGGCCACACUGGGACUGAGACACGGCCCAGACUCCUACGGGAGGCAGCAGUGGGGAAUAUUGCACAAUGGGCGAAAGCCUGAUGCAGCGACGCCGCGUGAGGGAUGACGGCCUUCGGGUUGUAAACCUCUUUCAGCAGGGAAGAAGCGCAAGUGACGGUACCUGCAGAAGAAGCACCGGCUAACUACGUGCCAGCAGCCGCGGUAAUACGUAGGGUGCGAGCGUUGUCCGGAAUUAUUGGGCGUAAAGAGCUCGUAGGCGGCCUGUCGCGUCGGAUGUGAAAGCCCGGGGCUUAACCCCGGGUCUGCAUUCGAUACGGGCAGGCUAGAGUGUGGUAGGGGAGAUCGGAAUUCCUGGUGUAGCGGUGAAAUGCGCAGAUAUCAGGAGGAACACCGGUGGCGAAGGCGGAUCUCUGGGCCAUUACUGACGCUGAGGAGCGAAAGCGUGGGGAGCGAACAGGAUUAGAUACCCUGGUAGUCCA
rnacentral:rRNA from 1 species